UUGACCUCGGAUCAGGUAGGAAUACCCGCUGAACUUAAGCAUAUCAAUAAGCGGAGGAAAAGAAACCAACAGGGAUUGCCCUAGUAACGGCGAGUGAAGCGGCAACAGCUCAAAUUUGAAAUCUGGCUCUCGGGCCCGAGUUGUAAUUUGUAGAGGAUACUUUUGAUGCGGUGCCUUCCGAGUUCCCUGGAACGGGACGCCAUAGAGGGUGAGAGCCCCGUCUGGUUGGAUGCCAAAUCUCUGUAAAGUUCCUUCGACGAGUCGAGUAGUUUGGGAAUGCUGCUCUAAAUGGGAGGUAUAUGUCUUCUAAAGCUAAAUACCGGCCAGAGACCGAUAGCGCACAAGUAGAGUGAUCGAAAGAUGAAAAGCACUUUGAAAAGAGAGUUAAAAAGUACGUGAAAUUGUUGAAAGGGAAGCGUUUAUGACCAGACUUGGGCUUGGUUAAUCAUCUGGGGUUCUCCCCAGUGCACUUUUCCAGUCCAGGCCAGCAUCAGUUUUCGCCGGGGGAUAAAGACUUCGGGAAUGUGGCUCUCUUCGGGGAGUGUUAUAGCCCGUUGUGUAAUACCCUGGCGGGGACUGAGGUUCGCGCAUC
rnacentral:rRNA from 1 species